CUAGUGCCGGUUUGUUUACAGAGACUCCAGCAACAAUCAUGAGUCAGAAAUUCAAGCCGCCAGAUGCUUUCCAACUAACAGGGACCAAACGGGACCGUUCUAAGGUGUCCUAAACGAUUUGGAGGUGGGAGUUGGUAAACUAAGAGAAUCCUAUCCUAAAGAGGACAAGACCAGACGGCAACAACCGACUCCCGGUUCCUUGGACCUCGGCAUUCCGUACAAGAAGUUAAUAUGGCAAGGAAAUGAUGCCUCCCGGACAGCAGAGAAAGGACCUGAGGAAUACCAACACCCAUGAGUAGAAGUGGAAUUAGGAGAAUUCAAUCUGGAAUAUAGACUUCGGAUAGACAAGAGCUAAGCCAUUCUCCAAACAGUGAGUUUUCGGCAGAUACAACAUCUUUGUUUGUAUGUGGUGCUGAGGAUCGAACCCGGGCCGAAUGCAUGCCAGGCACCUAUCAUGUUACCGUUUCUGCUGUACAUCAAAGAGUGUGAUGGAAUCUGCAUCUCGAAGUAGAAGAUUGCCUGUGCCAGCAUAGAAGAUCUCAUCACAGUUGGGCACCUGUACCUUUUUGGUGAUCUCAUUUUUCAAAUUCUUGAUCAGAAGCUGAAAGGAAUGUUAAAGAAUUAAGAGAAAAAGUGAUUACACAAAAUGAUGACAGCUAAUGACAUCCCUCAGCAAUUAUUCCUUAGCUUCAAUAAACUAAGUAUAUUUC